GGUGACCAUGAGGUGACCCAAUGAUGCCACCACCCAUGGAGGUGACCCCAUGAUGGGACAUUCGCCCUUGGGGGACAUCCCUUGGGGACAUCAACCCAUGGAGGUGACCCCAAUGAUGCAUCGACCCAUGGAGGUGACCCCAAUGAUGCCACCAACCCUUGGGAUCAACCCAUGGAGGUGACCCCAGUGAUGGCAUCGGCCCAUGGGGACAUCCCUUGGGGACAUCAACCCAUGGAGGUGACCCCAAUGAUGCCACCAACCCAUGGAGGUGACCCCAAUGAUGCCACCAACCCUUGGGGACAUCAACCCAUGGAGGUGACCCCAAUGAUGGCACGCCCAUGGGGGACAGUCCCUUGGGGACAUCAACCCAUGGGAGUGACCCCAAUGAUGCCACCAACCCAUGGAGGUGACCCCAAUGAUGGCCCGACCACAACACCCUUGGGGACAUCAACCCAUGGAGGUGACCCCAAUGAUGGCAUCGGCCCAUGGGGACAUCCCUUGGGGACAUCAACCCAUGGAGGUGACCCCAAUGAUGCCAUCAACCCUUGGGGACAUCAACCCAUGGAGGUGACCCCAAUGAUGGCAUCGACCCAUAGAGAUGACCCCAAUGAUGCCACCAACACAUUGGGACAUCCCUUGGGGACAUCAACCCAUAGAGGUGACCCCAAUGAUGCCACCAACACAUUGGGACAUCCCUUGGGGACAUCAACCCAUAGAGAUGACCCCAAUGAUGCCACCAACACGUUGGGACAUCCCUUGGGGACAUCAACCUAUGGAGGUGACCCCCAACCCAUGGAGGUGACCCCAAUGAUGGCAUUGACCCAUGGAGGUGACCCCAAUGAUGGCAUCGACCCAUAGAGAU
rnacentral:lncRNA from 7 species